rnacentral:rRNA from 1 species
UACAGAGGGUGCAAGCGUUGUUCGGAAUUACUGGGCGUAAAGCGCACGUAGGCGGAUUGUUAAGUCGGGGGUGAAAUCCUGGAGCUCAACUCCAGAACUGCCUUCGAUACUGGCGAUCUCGAGUUCGGGAGAGGUGAGUGGAACUGCGAGUGUAGAGGUGAAAUUCGUAGAUAUUCGCAAGAACACCAGUGGCGAAGGCGGCUCACUGGCCCGAUACUGACGCUGAGGUGCGAAAGCGUGGGGAGCAAACAGGG